UAGGUGGUGAGCGUUAUCCGGAAUUACUGGGUGUAAAGGGUGUGUAGGCGGGAGUGCAAGUCAGACGUGAAAACUAUGGGCUCAACCCAUAACGUGCGUUUGAAACUGUGCUUCUUGAGAGUGGGAGAGGUAAACGGAAUUCCUGGUGUAGUAGUGAAAUGCGUAGAUAUCAGGAGGAACACCGGUGGCGAAGGCGGUUUACUGGACCACAACUGACGCUGAGACACGAAAGCGUGGGGAGCAAA
rnacentral:rRNA from 1 species